rnacentral:lncRNA from 1 species
UUUCCCACGAUGAUGCUUGCUAUGAGUUUCUGUCUCUCUGUUAAAGGGACGAGACACACCAACCUUAUUAACUUUGUCAAAAGGGCUCCCAUUCUGAUACUGAUGUGGUAAAUUUUUAGGCGGUUCGUUGGCAUAAGUUGGCUUGUCGUCUACUAGUACUUUUGAGUUAUCAAACUUUUUUAUAGGUCUACUAUACACAGCCCUACUAGAGGAUGCAAAAGCCAUGAUGUGUUGAUUGCUACGUCAUAUUUUAAAUAUUUAAAACUCAUCGACAGAUGCACUAUGCAUGAAAACAUUUCUUUUCAGGUAAAUGAUGUUUGUUGACAUUUUUCACAUGCAUUUCCUCCGGAUGU